rnacentral:misc_RNA from 1 species
CGCAAGUGGCUGUCAGGUUUUAAAAUUUGUCAAUUUUAGUUUCAUCUAAAAUGAAAAACAUUAACUCAAUAUAAAAACAAAGAUUUUUUACUGUUAUUACAUUAUUAACUAUUUGUUACUUUUUAACAUUUUAUAAAACUUAAGACUCAAUUACGAUGUUGCCUAUGUCUAGUAGCGUUCGACGAUUUCUACUAACCAAGGCGAAAACUUACGUGAGAACUGUAACCACUAGCAAACCAGCUACUUCUUUUGAUGAUGAUCAAAUAAAACAGAAUUAUGAUAUUAUAAUAGCUGGCGGAGGCAUGGUUGGCUGUACCUUAGCUUGUGCUAUCGGCAAAAAUUCUUUACUGUCGCAUUUAAAAGUAUUAUUAUUAGAGGGCAGUCCACAACAAAAGUAUGAAUUGAAACCAGAAUAUAGCAACAGAGUAGUAGCACUAAACCAAAACACAAAAUCUUUGAUGAAUUCUCUGGAAAUUUGGCAGCAUAUAGAAAAAGCACGAGUUCAACCUGUUAGACAUAUGCAGGUUUGGGAUGCAUCUUCAAAUGCAUUAAUAUCUUUCAAUAGUGCUGACAUAAUGGAUGAUGAUGUUGCUUACAUUGUUGAAAAUGAUCUACUAUUACAUGCAGUAAACAAAGAAUUGACGUCUCCUGAUCUUAAAAAUGUAAAUAUAGUUUAUGGAGCAAAAAUAUCAGGAUAUGAAUUAUCAAAACAUGAAGCAUUGACAAGGAAUCUCAUAAAAAUGAACAAUGGGGAUACUUAUUCAUGUAAAUUACUGAUAGGCGCAGAUGGUGCUAACUCCGCUGUCCGCAACGCCAUGGGAGUACAGUACUUAUCAUGGAAUUACGAUCACAUGGGUGUAGUGGCUACUUUGCAUCUCGCUGAGGAAACAGAGAACACAACAGCUUGGCAACGCUGGCUGCCAACUGGCCCAGUAGCGUUGCUGCCGCUCGACUCCAAGCGGAGCUCUUUGGUAUGGUCCACCACUGUCGACCACGCCAAGCAACUACUACAGCUGCCUGAAGAACAAUUCGUCGAUGCUCUUAAUGACGCUUUGUGGAAACAGUACCCGCACAGCAGUGCAGUAGAGGCAUGCACAUCAUGGUUCGGCUCUUGCUUAAAAAGCAUCGGACUGCCAGAUGGCGCGGAGAGGCAACUGCCGCCGUCGGUGAAGAGCAUAGUGUCGGCCUCCCGCGCAGCCUUUCCGUUAGGCUUCGGGCACAGUACUAGAUAUGUCGCCCCUGGUGUCGCUCUUGUCGGCGAUGCAGCGCACCGAGUACAUCCGUUGGCGGGACAAGGCGUUAACCUCGGCUUCGGCGACGUAAAGGAUCUCACCGAAUUUCUGGCGGAUGCCAUCUACACUGGAUUAGAUAUAACUCAUCAUAGCUGGUUAGAAAGAUAUGAGAGUUCACGCCAAAGGCACAAUGUGCCUACUCAGAUAGCGGUGGAUGCUCUGUAUAGGCUGUAUACAGUUGAUCUCCCACCAGUCGUGCUCGUCAGGAGUUUGGGCACUCAGCUUACCAAUGCAUUGCAACCUAUUAAGAAAUUGAUCAUGUCACAUGCCACGACGUAGAAGAAUGGAAAUGUUGAUAAUAAUUACUUUAAAGACAGAGACGGUGCUUAGACUACUUAGGUAUAAUAAAUACAUUUUAUGUGUAUGUUACCUAAAUUAUUUGCAGUACCUAUGAAACUUGGCUAUUGAAAAGGGGUUACGUAUGAAACUAGAUAGUAAUCUUCCGUAAAUAUUAAAAAGGAAUUUUGGAUAUUUAUAUAAGAAAAAAAGGUGUAUCUACUUGGUAAGCGUAAGAAAAUUAAUAAAAUAAUUUCAGUCAACUAUAAACCAAUUCCAUGUAUUGAUCUAUCUGAAUGUAGACAAUUCUUGAUGGUAUUAAAUAUGUAUCUGUAAAAAUAGAGUUAGAAUCUAUUUAUGUUACUUGCCUAGUCAAAAUAAAAAAUUAUUAGUGGCUAACUUUAAUAAAAUAAAAUAUAAUUAUUAUAUA